GUUGCUGCAUCCUUCCCCACGUUGAAGCUUCAACCCGCGGAUCACGCCGCACCUUCUCCAUAAAGUUUCAUCACGCGGCCACCACGACCCUCAGCAGCACUUCCUAUAUAUACACUACCAUGAAACAGCCCAGCCACCGUGUUAGCUCCACACGCACGGCCAAUAGCCAAGCUGCACCGUCGUGGGGCAGAUCCACUGCAAAUGCUGCCGAGAUCUUCGCUGCCCUACCAACGCGUCACUGUAGGAACCCACUGCUAAACCACCGCAGCCCAUUUUUUUCCACCACACUUUCCAACCCUCACAGUAAGCUUUCAUCUUCUUCCUCUAGAUCCUACUGCACAUACACAUAUUUCUCUCUUCUGCAUAAAGGGAUUGAUGCAGCCUUGAGUAUCUUUUUUAGUGAAACUCUUCCACACCGUGAGCCUCACUUCUAGAAUAAAACCUCCGUGUGAUAGCUAGCAUUUUCUCUGCACGACCAUUUGCUAGCCAUUGCCCAGUUACACGAGAGCCAACCACCGAAAACCACUCAGCCAUCCCGUGUUUCGACCAUCUCCUGCAACCAUGAGAACCAGUAACUUAAGUCUAGCUCAGCCACAUGAAACCAAACCCACCCCUGUUUUUUAUUCCCUAAAAUAGAGCAAGGGAAGCUCUCCCCAUGCUCUCGGUUUCCAGCCUUGCUACACGCCGGAAACAACCCAAAAAAUCCACAGAAACUGACAUCUGUUUCCCCCUAGGGUCGGUCGUUCGGCAAGCCGCGUGCACAGCCUCCCGGCCGUGUCUCUGCCAUCUUUCAGCUGCCCCCACGGCUUGGGGCUCCGAGAAUAAUAAGGAGAAGAUUCACAUUCUGUUUCUACUCAGUUGGCCGCCAGGGUUUGUACGAACCUACCACGGGGGUUACACAUGGAAUUCUAUUUUGAUGUGAUGUUUCAGUUAUGUUGUGCCAAAGGAACUUUGAAUAAGAAUUUUUUUUGAAACUUUCGCUAUGAUAUUUUUGAUAACAUGUUCUGAUUCUGCAUUCUGAAACUAAAACCAUUUUGUUAUGCAUUUUGAACACUGUAAAUGCUCAUGUUUGCCCACUGGUAUAUGUUCUCUGUUUACUGAGUUGUUGAUAACUCACCCUUUAUCUCCAAAUAUUUUUCAGAUAAUUUUGAUAGUUCGGCUGGAGAACAAGAAUAGGAAGUUUUAACAAGAUGUGAUGAUUGUAAUGGAAUAAGUGUCCGAGGGUACAAGUGCUUAUUUGAGAGUUGUAGGUAGUAAAUUGAUUUAUUUUUUGGGAUAUGUUGAUUUGAUGAGUUAAGGAUAUUUUCGAGUCUUUGGGGAGUUUUUAAAAUUAUGUUAUUGAGAAUUUCUUUGUAGUCCCUUUGAAGGAACAUAGAUAUUUGGGUUAAGUGAAUAAAUUAAUAUUUUAUGGAGUU